rnacentral:lncRNA from 1 species
GUCAGAUAUGGCAUGAUAUUUCAAGGAAGUUUAACUUGAACAAUUACUGAUUUCAUCCAGACUCCGGAGCCUCUGUUUUGUCAAGAAGGAAGAUCACGAGUGUCAUGGUAAUGCCAGUAAUGACUCAGGCCAUAUCCUGCUGGUCGUAGUAGUUCUCCAUCUCCCCAGAGAGGCUGCGAUUAAAUGACAUAUCAUUGCAGUGGCCAACGAACCAUUUAGAAGGAAGCACUUUACUUUGAAGAAGAUAUCUGAGGGUUUUCAAGUUGAAUGUGAAACUGUGGCCCCCAGUUCUGUACCCAAGACACCGUGUCCCUUUCCUUAAAAUGGACAUCACCUUCUAUUUCCUCACCUGAUUUAAACAGGAUUCUAGAAGACCUGAUGACUGUGUUUCCACAAGCAAGAAGACUCUGAAAACAGCCAAGCCGCACCACUGUGUUUUAGAAGAUACUACAAAGAAACCAGCCUUCAUGACGAAGACCUAGAGGCAGGAGCAAAAGUUUCUACUCCUCAAAAUAGACUAAUUCGAGUGCUGGCAAAUUCAAUUUCAUAGCAUCUACCAGUAUAUUU